rnacentral:rRNA from 1 species
ACGGUAACAGGUUAAGCUGACGAGUGGCGAACGGGUGAGUAAUGUAUCGGAACGUGCCCAGUCGUGGGGGAUAACUACUCGAAAGAGUGGCUAAUACCGCAUGAGACCUGAGGGUGAAAGCGGGGGACUCGCAAGAGCCUCGCGCGAUUGGAGCGGCCGAUAUCAGAUUAGGUUGUUGGUGAGGUAAAAGCUCACCAAGCCGACGAUCUGUAGCUGGUCUGAGAGGACGACCAGCCACACUGGGACUGAGACACGGCCCAGACUCCUACGGGAGGCAGCAGUGGGGAAUUUUGGACAAUGGACGCAAGUCUGAUCCAGCCAUGCCGCGUGCGGGAAGAAGGCCUUCGGGUUGUAAACCGCUUUUGUCAGGGAAGAAACGGCUUUGUCUAAUACACGAGGCUAAUGACGGUACCUGAAGAAUAAGCACCGGCUAACUACGUGCCAGCAGCCGCGGUAAU